UUCUUUAUUGCCAUGGAAACCGAGAUGCUUGGGAUAAGGGCGGGAUUGGCAAGCCAGCACAAGAGUCUCAGAAGAAGCAAGUCUGCUCAUUGCUGGCCUGCCCGUCAGCUUUAUUUCUAAGAACUACAGCACAAGAGAAAUUUCCAAGAGAAAAUUGUGCAAAUGUUGGCAAUUAUGGAAUCAUCUUUGAUGAGGCGAAGGCAGCCACUAAUCUGCAUCAGCCUCUGGCUUUGACUCUUCUAGACUAUGCUGAAGAGAACCUUACCCGUAUGUAUAUUACAGUUGACGUCUUCUGUCCUCAAUGCCAGAUAAUUUCAACUACCAUGAAAAAUACUGCCAGGCAGGGUGGCGCUUGCCUGUAAUCCCAGCACUCAGGGAGGCAGAGACAGGCGUAUCACCAUGAGUUUGAGACCAGCCUGGUCUACGAAGCGAGUCCAGCACAGCCAAGGUUACACAGAGAAACCCUGUCUUAAAAAUGGCGCUUAAGACAUAACUCAAUUGAGGAUGGCCAAGUGGACUAUAGGACUCUGCACUGACCCUGUCUCAUUCCAGCUCACGUGAAAGAAGACAAAGGAUACUUCCAGAAAUGGGAUUACACUUCCUCCAAUUACAUCUCCUGGGCAGAAGUUAAUUUCAUGGUCAUUUAAGAACAAGAAAUACUAGAAAACAUCACAUUUAUCUAGGAAGUUACUUAGGAACUGAGGAUUUUAUUCCUGAGGAAUUAGGUAAAAUAGACAGUUUAAAAAUUAGUAGCAUUUUGAUAUCACAGAAAAAGCAUCUGCUUUCACUCAAGGCUAGCUGUCAUUGCCAUCUGAGAUGGGGCUGUGUCUCAGACAAGUGAUCAAACAUCACAGGAAGUUAUACACCAGCCUUUCUUAUUAUCAGCUCGCCAUUUGCGUUAUUAUAAGCAUUGUGUCCAUUUGCAGUUCACUUUAUGGAAAGAUAAUUUGAACACAUGCGAUUUUAGUAGACAACUAAAAAUCAGUUUUAAAAAUAGAUCAAUUAUUAGUCCAUGAUCACACACAUUUGUCAUGGAAUAAACUGAGCCUAGUUCAGCUUAACACCCUAUUCUUAAACCAUCACAGUGUAUCCUACCAUGACAUAUGCUUGUAAUGAUCUAAAUUUUUAAAAAAAUGUUUCUUUUUUUUGACAUUUUUUUAUUUUAUUAUUAUUAUUUUUUUAUCAGUUACAUUUUAUUAACUCUGUAUCCCAGCCAUGUUCCGAUCCCUCAUUCCCUCCCAGUCCCUCCCUCCCUCCCUCAUCUCCACCGUGCCCCUUUCCAAGUCCACUGAUAGGGGGGACCUCCUCCCCAUUCAUCUGAUCCUGUUUUAUCAGGUAUCUUCAGGACUGUCUGCAAAAGCCCUCCUCUGUGGCCUAACAGGACUGCUCCUCCCUUCGGGGGUGGGGAGACCAAAGAGCCAGUCAUUGAGUUCCUGUUGGAAAUAGUCCCU